GAUGAACGCUGGCGGCGUGCCUAAUACAUGCAAGUCGAGCGAACGGACGAGAAGCUUGCUUCUCUGACGUUAGCGGCGGACGGGUGAGUAACACGUGGAUAACCUACCUAUAAGACUGGGAUAACUUCGGGAAACCGGAGCUAAUACCGGAUAAUAUUUUGAACCGCAUGGUUCAAAAGUAAAAGACGGUCUUGCUGUCACUUAUAGAUGGAUCCGCGCUGCAUUAGCUAGUUGGUAAGGUAACGGCUUACCAAGGCAACGAUGCAUAGCCGACCUGAGAGGGUGAUCGGCCACACUGGAACUGAGACACGGUCCAGACUCCUACGGGAGGCAGCAGUAGGGAAUCUUCCGCAAUGGGCGAAAGCCUGACGGAGCAACGCCGCGUGAGUGAUGAAGGUCUUCGGAUCGUAAAACUCUGUUAUUAGGGAAGAACAAAUGUGUAAGUAACUGUGCACAUCUUGACGGUACCUAAUCAGAAAGCCACGGCUAACUACGUG
rnacentral:rRNA from 1 species